UUAGGAUUGACGCGGUUUGACGCUGCUUUUGCUACUGGAGGCAGUCUUCUGCAACGUGCUAGCUACUUUAUAUAGCAUAAUGUACCGUGCACUGAAAGUAUGAUACACUUUGCAUACAAUUAAACACUUUAUUCAAAGGUCAGAGGCUCGUUCAACCAGACGUUUUAUCCAAACUAAAAUUAGGUGCACCAUGGCAAACCAUUUCCACCUGAACACACCGCUGCUGGAGAGCGUCGGCAUGUCCAAACUCGUGGGAACCACUGUGUAUCUGAAGAUGGAGAAUUCACAGCCCUCCGGUUCCUUCAAGAUCCGCGGCAUCGGACACCUCUGCCAGCAGAUGGUCAGACAGUCCAAAGGGGUUGUCUGCGCUUCAGGUGGUAAUGCAGGCAUGGCUGCAGCCUACGCAGCCAGAAAAAUGGGUGUACCGGCCACCAUCGUAGUUCCCUCCUCGUCUCCUCAGCUGGUCGUUCAGAGACUCCAGGAUCAGGGUGCUACUGUCAAGAUUACAGGCAAGGUUUGGGAUGAUGCCAAUGCAGAGGCUCUCAGACUGGCAGAGACUGAAGGACUCACCUAUGUUCCUCCAUUCGAUCACCCCCUGCUCUGGCAGGGCCACGGCAGUAUGAUCACUGAGGUCGCAGCCUCUCUGGGCCCCGGUGUGAAGCCUGGAGCUGUGCUGCUGUCUGUGGGCGGAGGAGGGCUCCUCUGUGGUGUCAUCCAGGGCCUGAAGGAUGUAGGCUGGACAGAUGUACCCAUCGUUGCAAUGGAGACAGUGGGGGCCCACUGUUUUAACGCUGCGGUUAAGGCGGGGAGGUUGGUCACCCUGGAUGACAUCACCAGCGAGGCAAAAUGUCUCGGAGCAAAGACAGUUUGCAAGAAAGCUUUUGAAUACAGCCAAUGCAACGAGCUUACAAUCAUUUCUGAACUUGUGACUGACCAGCAGGCUCUGCAUGCUGUCCAAACAUUCCUGGAUGAGGAGCGUGUGUUGGUGGAGAUGGCGUGCGGAGCAGCACUAGCAGCUGUCUACAGCGGACUUAUACGCAGAUUACAGGAUGAAGGUCUGCUGCCGACUCUCUUGGGCCCCCUGCUGGUGAUCGUGUGCGGUGGCAGCAGCGUCGACAUGGAGCAACUGACCAACCUCAAACACAAACUGCAGACUUAAAGUACUGUAUGUAUGCAAAUGUGUGUGUAUGGGCAACCCGUUCUCACUCCUAACUCAACUUCAAAUACAGCAGCUUUUUCAGUGGCCCUCAGCAUCUGAUACUGACGCACAAGGCACCCGUUGAAUCUGUAUGAGGCAGUCUUGCAGCUGCUCGACCGCAUCGUAGUAUUAAGAGCGGCGAAGUCCGCAUGGGGAGGAAGUCGGGAUGGAUGGAUGUGGCAAAGAAACAAAGGACUUUCACCCAGAAGAUCGCUGUUUGUUUCCCAUGUGAAUCCAAAAGUUAACAUUAACUUAUUUUAACUAACAUCACAUACCUACGUAAGUUACGGUACAUAGGUAACAAACUUAUCUAACGUCACGCAUGUAAGUUACGCAGCAAAUACACUUUUAAGUCAAACCAUAGUCUUUUACUAAACCUAGUAGUAUUGUUGCCUGACGUGCACCUCUCAAAAACUUUAACUACACCUCACAGCUUGGUAGUGUUGGAUUUCCCCCUACUCAUUUCCGGGUUCUCCUUCUCCAUAAACGACAUGAAAUCAAGGAGAGGGUGAACUUUCC